rnacentral:rRNA from 1 species
UGGGGAAUAUUGGACAAUGGGGGAAACCCUGAUCCAGCGAUGCCGCGUGAAUGAAGAAGGCCUUAGGGUUGUAAAGUUCUUUCACCGGGGACGAUAAUGACGGUACCCGGAGAAGAAGCCCCGGCUAACUUCGUGCCAGCAGCCGCGGUAAUACGAAGGGGGCUAGCGUUGCUCGGAAUUACUGGGCGUAAAGGGAGCGUAGGCGGACAUUUAAGUCAGGGGUGAAAGCCUUGGGCUUAACCCAAGAAUUGCGCUUGAUACUGAUAAGCUAGAGGAUGAUAGAGGAAAGCGGAAUUCCUAGUGUAGAGGUGAAAUUCGUAGAUAUUAGGAAGAACACCAGAGGCGAAGGCGGCUUUCUGGAUCAUAUCUGACGCUGAGGCGCGAAAGCGUGGGGAGCAAACA